rnacentral:tRNA from 1 species
AGGACUUUAGCUUAUUUAAAGUUUUUGAUUUGCACUCAGAAGAUGUAGGAUGAUAUCCUGCAAGCCCUA